UCAUGAGAUAGGGCCUCGUCCACGGCCAAUGGAUCUCGAAAUCAAGGUUAGUUAUACAGAAUCAGAUACCUUCCUCCAUUACAUUAUGUGUGCGGCCGUCGAUGAUUACAAUGCUAAAGAGGAGUGGUGUUGCAGGCUUCUAUUGAGGAAGAGAGAGCGAAGACCCUAGAGCUUCUGGCGGAGGAAAGGAGGCAUGCGGCGGAGAGGGAGAGGGAGAUUGAGGGGAGGACGGCUAGGAUUUUGGAGGAGGAGAGGAACCGGAACGACUUGGCUAACCGGGCCAUAUACGAGCUCUUCGCGGUAAGUUUCUUCUGCAUAUUAGCUAAAUCAUGCAUGUAAUGUUCCUUUCAUUAGUAACUAAUAUGACUGACUCGUCAAAACCAAAUGUGCAGCCCAUGUGCGACAAGAACGGUCAGACCCCUCCGCCGAUGCCAGUCAUUGCUCCGGCGGGCACGGUGAGUUUCAUUUGAAUGGACAUUACUUAUUAGUCUUCACAUUUGAGUUGCAUCAUGAUAACGAGACAUUGCAAAUGAUCUUUAAUUUGGUGCAGCAUAACUCCCGACAAGCAUCGACGUGUGCCACUGUCGCGAGCAAGAACCCCGAUCCUUCACCUACGGGUUGACGAUUUGCUUCAGAUCACGGAAGCUUGGGUUGAUGGAGUGCUUGUCUUUAGUUUUUGUUUUGACUUUGUGAAACUUGCUACCUAUGAUGAAACUGUGUAAUAUUGAUGAAACUAUGUAUAUGUAUGGAUGAAACUUGCUACUAUUGGUAACAUGUGUUGAAU